ensembl:lncRNA
UUUGCCUUUUAGGUCAUAUUUUUAAAACCUGUUACUACAGGUUUUCUUUUUUAUGUUCUCUUAAGAACUCUGUGAUUGCUUUUGUCUGCUUUAAGCAGACUGGCCAAGCUGCAGUCAGUGUUCUGGCUGAGCUCUCACCGGGAACACACAAAGCAAACCAAUUUGCUUCAUUUCAGAUUCACAAUAUUCCUGCUAGUACAGUCCUUAAUAAUUUUCCUGCAUUGUUGGCUCUUACUUAGGUUUAGUCUUGACAGCCAGAUUCUGUCCUGACGUAUACUGAUUGAUUGUUUCCCUUUGAAUUAUGCUCUUUAUUUCCCCUCCUUAUGGACACAUUUAUAAGGCAUAAAUGUCUUAGGGACAUUUCUCCUCCUUAUGCCUGGUCUUCAGUGCAUGCAUCUUCAAAUUAGUUCCUCUCGUCCAAAAUGCAUAAUAAAUCUCUCAAUAUGAUGCUUUGAUUGCAUUAUUUAUUUCAUUAGUCAAAUAAUUUACAGAGAUUAUGAUUAAAACAGUUAAAAAAAAAAGAAAAAGGAAAUAAAGAACAAUUUCAGGUCAGACCUCUGGAAGACAUCACUUAAAGUCUCUUAGUCUGAUAACAAGAAAUAGUUAACUUAGGAAAUUUUGAUUGCAAUUCUGCAAGUCCUUUCAGUUCACUGUACUUUUACAGUACCAAAUGCCUCACAAAGGCCAAAGUUCGUCAUGUCUGUUGCUUAAACCAGUUAAGUCAGCUAGAAGGGUUGCUGUAGUCAGGUAUUUUUGAUAAAACCAGGCAUCGUGAAGAGUAUGAUGUUACUAUAGCUAUUUUAAGAAUACUUAGCAACCCAUCAGGUUUUGAAUAAGACUAAGUGGCCUGUGAUUCUCAGGUAUUCCUUUUACUGCUUAAAGUUGGUACUGUUUUCUCCUUCUUCAUUUGCAAACCAAGUGAAAGUCUUCCCUAAAGAUCACUAUAACUAAAGAUAAAGUUUUCAACUUCAGCUAUAAGUGCAUACACCUGUGUUUCUGGGGGAGUUCCUUCCAGCUGUAGUUUUAUUCACCAUGCAGGCCCACUGAAUUUCUCAUCUAGCUGUGACUAGUUAGGUAUGCAUGCAUUCAGUCUCUUGCAGAAGCAUUUGUAUGAAAGAACUGAUUUCAGGAAAAAAUCAGGAGAGGGUCCAAAAAGUGAUAUAAAUUUAUCAAAAAAUCUGCCAUGGUUCCAAAAUCUCUUUUUGAAACAUAUUUCUAAAGAACUCUUACUGGAGAUGGAAAUUUAGUUAUACCCUGACAAAUGGGUAGUUUACUUGCUAAGGUUCCAUAAAUAAGGUUUCUGUACAUAGAUCUAAGUGAAUAUGCAAGGUAUGGAAUGUAGAAUAUUUCCUUACCUGCUACAACCUAAAAUUACUCAGGAAAUGAACAAAAGCUUCCUCAAAACAAACAAACAAAGAAACCAAACAAAACCCAUGAGCUAUGACUACCAGCUACCAAGUGAUCCUUUCCAAGAUGAGAGAGUACAGAAUAUUUUGGAAGCCCUUACUGCAUGAAAGCCACAGUAGCAGCCUGGAUUAGAUAAUUUGGACAUUGUCACAUUGUGCAAGCACGUAAAGUGGCAGCAAAGUCAGAAUCACAGAAGAAAAUGCUUAGGUCAACUCAAAGACCAAUUGAAAACGGGAUAUCUAAUGCAUGCUAAAAUUAUGGGUAAUGCCAGGUCAUAUUAUUACUUUAGAAUAGUGGGAAAGUAUGCACUUAAUGAGCUCUACUAAGAGCUGUGUGGCUUGAUUAUUGCAGGUGAAAUAGUUCAGCUGCUAACAAAUGGUGCAGACCUUUUUCAAAGGUCUUUUCCCUGGCCUUCCCCCCGCUCCUGCCUUCCCCAAGGUGUUUCUGAGCACUGCCUUACUUCUAGUGAGAAUCCUCAUGGCAGGCUGAUGCUGGUACAAGGUUAGACAGAAGACUCUAAGGUCAGGAUUGAUUUUGAAAUAAGUAAUUUCAAUGACUAUUAAGGUAAUCAAUACACAGCUUGGAGCAAGACAUCUAAAAGUAGCCAAUACUCUCUUCCACGUCAAGAAUUCAUCUGGAAUCUUACAAGACUGUUUUGCACAUUCUCAUAAUGAGAAGUCAGACCUUCAGUGCAAGUUGCCUCAUUCCUUUAGAGUAAGUUGAUUUGUAUCAGUGUACACCAGCAGAAGAUUUAUACCAUGGUGCCAUGGAAAUGCUAAGUCGUGGCCUGAAGCAGUGAUUGCACACCUGGUGGGAAGGCAGGGCCAACCCAGGGGAGCUCAGGUGAACACAAUGCAGCUGAUUAGAAGGGCUGGAGCCGGGAUCCACCCUUUCCCAGACCUCAUGUAAGGGUUGGCAGUGGAGGGGGAGACUCUCUUGUUGGAGAUUCCUGCCUAUCUGAAGAUGUUACAGGCCUUCCAAAGAGGCUGCACGUGGAGGGAGUUGAAGGCAGACCUCUUAGCCCUGGCCCAUCACCCAUAUGAAACUGCAGCUCUGGCAGAAUCAAUAUCAGAUGCAGAAAGGACAAGACAAUGGAAUUAAAACAUUCAAAAUUCUUUUCAGUACUUCCAGAUGCCAAUAGCAGAGACGUACUGACAUGAAAACCUCAACAAAAAAGUUGUAUCUACCCCAUCUACCUCUGUGAUGACAGAAUCACAGAAUGGCUUGUGUUGGAAGGAACCUCAAGGAUCAUGAAGCUCCAACCCCCUCGCCACAAGCAGGGCCACCAACCUCUGCAUUUAAUCCCAGACCAGACCACAUUUAAUGCCCAGGGCCCCAUCCAACCUGACGUUGAACAUCUCCAGGGAUGAGGCAUCCACAACCUCUUUGUGCAGCUGUUCCAGCACCUCACCACUCUCAUAGUAAAGAAAUUACAGAUUAUGAAGUAGUGGUUCCUGUGUGUAUCUGCUGUGCUGACCUCACCUAUAAAUGACUCUGCAGUGGAAAAGAUUCUUCUGUUCCCAAAAAUAUAAAUUACUCUUUAGACUAGGUUUUGCAUUCAAGCUAAUACAAUGGUGUUACUCAUAAGAGUGAAAUUAUUUGUGUUCAGACACGUUCCUAGAAUUAAUAUGUAACAUCUCAAAUCAGAUCUAACAGGAUGAAAAUGCGGAAUUUUGGGGGUCCAAUUUUGAGUAUGUAUCAAUCACAAAUUAUGAUUCUGGAAAAAAAAGUAGUUGUAACUAUGAGGUUAAUUAUAGUAACUAUGAGGUAGAUUAUAUGUAGUCAUCAAAUAACAGUUUUGUUACGCAAUGAGUAUCUGUCUUUGCAGUUAUAACACUGCAUCAUUUCUUAAAGUUAGUAUUAUCUUGUAACUUCACAUUGUGUUUUAAUUGCCUACUUGAAUUUGCUGUGCUUUAGUAGUGAAGACUUGCUGAUUAGUAUAUUAAUUGUUUUUAAGUGUUAAUGUAAUGCUUGGGACUUAUUUAACUUGGAUAAAUUGUGGGAUCUUUUUUUCUCUUUUCCUUCUUUAAGAGCUCAGCACAUAUAUCGGUCGAAUCUCCCUAUGAACUCAAAUCCCUGCUCUUACAUAAUGGCUAUUAGACUUAUGCUGUAAAGCUAAUCGCAGCAGGUGCCAUCACAGGACAGUGGGACAGUAGUGAACAUCCUUCCUGGUCAGUGGUCUCUGAUGUCAGACCCAGACUUUAUCCUUCUUCUACUGUGCUUUUUCAGGUGAUGUUUAAAGCCUGAUUUGACUGAUUAGUGCCAAUAUAGUUGAUUAAAGUUGCUUAUUGUUUUAAUCUGUCAGCAGUGUGAAUGUCAUGCAUCUGCUUAGGUAGGAGUAGUGGUGAAUUGAAAGGUAAGAGCUAUGUCUGAUUUCCAAUAUGAGCUGUUUUAGCCAACCCCCAUCUGAUGGGAAGCCUGUACCACUACAGGACUCAAGCUGUGCCUUUGUACUGAUCUGCUGCUCCUCAAUUCAAGAAAUACUGCCUCAAAAUAAAGCUGUUUGUCUUAUGUCAAGAGAUGAUUUCAUAUGCUCUCAGCGGUAGCUUAAGGAGAACUUUAAUCACUGCUCUAUACUACGUUUUCAUGUGUUUUGCUUUGAUUGCUUUUAUAUACAUACAUUAGUGAAAUGGGGCAGGAACAGAGGAAGUUUUUGUUACAUUCUGAUGGUCUUUGACAGGUCCUGGAUGUAUUGGGACUGUCUCCUCAACCAAGGCAGAACCCGAGUUACACAAAGGAAAGCUGUAUUGGAGAAUUGGUCUUCCAGCUGGAGAAGCCAUGCAGAAGCACAUGAUAUCAUGAACAUUAUUAUUAUUUCCCAGAAACUACUGAAAAAAGCAGUUAGUUUUGUCAUAGACAUAAAUGUUCUGCUUGGUGUCAGUGUAACCUCCAUUGUUUGCAAAGGUGGUUACCUUGUGUGUGCAGAAGUCCUGCCCGCUACCAUUAGCCAUACCGUUAGCUGUUACAGGAGGCUCUGCUGGUCAGUCAUGGUGACCCAGUCUGGCCAUUUCUGAUAUUUAAUGCAAUUCUCAAGUUGUUGUAAAACUCCAUAAGAAAAAGCCAUGCUAUAAUGAACAGACGGAAAUAAAGCUUCCCUUGUCUAAUAGUGUUAAAAUAUAUAUAUGUAUCUGAAGAAGUAAGGAAAGUGUUUGUCAUCAGAAGUUUUUCAUAAGACUUUUCAUGAUCAUUGCAUUCAGUGUUCAUUUAUCAUUUAGAGAAAAAAAAAUUCAGUAAUUAUUUUCAACCAAUAUAGGAAGAGAUUGAGAGCAAAUAUUAAGAUCAUUUGAGAGGACAAUUGAGGAUUUUAUUAUUAUUAUUUAGUAUUUCUCACAGUGCCUCUUAUUGCUAUCAUGUCUGGUUCUUCUUUUUCUACGCUUAAAUAUUCAACACCUCUGUUGUUUUGGCAUCAACAACUGACUCUGUCAGUGUACAUAAGAAGCCUCUGAUCUCUUAUGCUACCUAUGCAGAUUCUGAAUCCUGAGCCAAAACUUGGUCAAGUCAGAGGGGGGUGUUCAUACAGAGUCCUAGAAAAAUCGUUAUGGGGAACAUCUAGUAUAUCUCAAAUUGUGUAGAGGAAUCUGCUGAAACAAAGCAUGCUGGUACCUAGCUUAACUUGUACUUGUUAAUUAUUAGUGAUUAAUUUUUAAUAGCUGUAUUUUAUAGCUUGUGGUUGGUUAUGCCCCAAGGUAAUGACUUCUUGUGUCUCAUAUUCUGUUAUUUGAAGGACAUCAUUCAAUAUAGCAUCUAUACAGCUUUGUUAAAGCAUUUAGAUCUAAAUUUUCUGCAGCAAAGACACAUUUAUUAAAUAGUCCAUAUGUUUAUUACUGUUCACAAUGAUCAAAUCCUGGGAAAACAUUGCAGAAAGAAAAUAUCUAGCUUCCUACCUUAAUUCCCAUUAUUCUAUUGAUUAGAAAAGUGAAGAUUACAUGUAUUAUCAACUGUAUUAUCAGAUAAUCCAUAAUCAGAUGCCAUUUUAAUGACAGGCAUGUGCUUUUUGUGGUGUUCCCUGGUAAAGCAGUAUGAAGAAUUUAAUGACUUCAUUAAAAGAUACUGCAUAACAAAGAAAGGAAAGCCCAAUGCCAUUUAAUAUUAUCUUUACAAUGUAUUACAUUGUUGAAUUGGAUUUUUUGUUUUGCUUAUUUGGUUUUGUUGUUGUUUUGCAAUUUUAUGUUCUGUAAGUUGAACAAUAAAUGUGUGAUAAGCAAAGGAAAUGUUGAGAUUUUUGCAGAUAUGGGCAAGCAGUGUUAUGACAGGUAUGUUCUGUGUCCUUAAAGAAACAGCAAGAAUGGUUUGUACCUUAAGAUGAUGAAUCUAUAGCGGACUUUCAAAUUCUUUUAAAAAGCAAAAUAAUAAGGAAGGUUUCACUGUUGCAGAUUGUGCCUGGAAUGUUGGGGCUGGGAGAUGCCACAAAGGAUAUUUUCCUUUUUUUUUUUUUUCCAUUAUUUUAUUUGUUUGUGUGGUAUUUCGGUAUUUUUUUAUUGCCUGUCCAAGCUGACUGUACUAGUACCAUUGUGUUCUCAGAAGUGGAUCUGGAUGAUUCUUUACUUUUUUACUGGAGGUCGGAUUUACUUUUUUUUAGGAAGUCAGAUCCUGUCAUGAAGAUACUAGACUGGAAGUCAGGACUUUCCUUCUUGUGUCACAGACCUUGUGUGGGCCUAGCCUGGACAGGGUGUUUGAUUCUCACUGCUGCAGUAUUCCGUGUGAAAUUUGAAGUUUUGAUUUAUUCUUUCAAUUUGUUUAAGAAUACAUGUAUUCAUCAUGUAUGAGAUACAGAGAUGUAAUACUAAUGGAUACCUGGAUACAGUCCAUUGGAACGUUGAGUUUUGUAUCUCAAUUAUUGCAAAGCCUAAAAAUAGUUAAUAUUUGAGAGCAAAAAACAAAAUCGAGAAAACUCUUUGUCUUAAAUCUGCCUAUUCAUGAUUUGUCUAAAAGCACAUUAGUUUUGGGAAACAAAACUGAGAUUGUCUGCUGUUUUAGAACUUAAAAAUCAGUGAAAAUCAGCUGUUAUCAUCUUGACUUGGAACUGAAUUUGCUUUGUAACCUAAAAAGGCUGUAAUUUUGUAAAUAGGUAAUAGUUGUGGUAUUGUUUGUAUCAUUAAUACUGUAUUGCAUAUGUUACGAGUGUUGAUGCUGCUAGAUCUCUCAGUGGCUCAGGUUACUGAAAGCUAUUUAAAGAAGUCUCUGAUGCAGAGAUGCCAUUACAUUUGAUAUCUUACAUUGUGAUUUACAGGUUUUUAAGGCUUUGUUUGAUGUUGAUUUUGUUUUUUUUUUCAGAGCUCCUCUCCAGUGGUUCUCUGUUUGUUGGUCUGGCAAAGUCAUUUAAAUGAAAGUUCACAGUGCCAGAAUAUGGUUUAGCAAUUCACUGAAGCCACUAGAAUUGGGUUUUAUUUAUUUUAUUGUUUUAUUGCUGUCCUGCUCUGCUUGAAAUUCACCCAUUUAUGUUUAAGUAUGACAACAUAAAGCAAGUAGUAACAACUGUUUCUUUUUUUUUCAUUGAUCUGCGACAAAUUCUUCAGCUUA